rnacentral:rRNA from 1 species
GUAAGAUCCCUCAGAGACGAUGAGGUAGAUAGGUCCGAGGUGGAAGCGUGGUGACACGUGGAGCUGACGGAUACUAAUCGAUCGAGGACUUAACUAA